AGAGUUUGAUCCUGGCUCAGGACGAACGCUGGCGGCGCGCCUAACACAUGCAAGUCGAACGGUGAAGUUUUUUUAGAGUCUUUCGGGGCGAUAAAGAAGCGGAAUAGUGGCGAACGGGUGAGUAACGCGUGAGCAAUCUGCCUUAAAGAGGGGGCAACAGCCGGAAACAGCUGCUAAUACCGCAUAAGCCCACGGUGUCGCAUGGCACAGGGGGAAAAGGAGCAAUCCGCUUUAAGAUGAGCUCGCGUCCGAUUAGAUAGUUGGUAAGGUAACGGCCUACCAAGUCAGCGAUCGGUAGCCGGACUGAGAGGUUGAACGGCCACAUUGGGACUGAGAUACGGCCCAGACUCCUACGGGAGGCAGCAGUGGGGGAUAUUGCACAAUGGGGGAAACCCUGAUGCAGCGACGCCGCGUGGAGGAAGAAGGUCUUCGGAUUGUAAACUCCUGUUGUUGAGGAAGAAAACCGACAAAACUCAACGAGGAAGCCACGGCUAACUACGUGCCAGCAGCCGCGGUAAAACGUAGGUGGCAAGCGUUGUCCGGAAUUACUGGGUGUAAAGGGAGCGCAGGCGGAAAGGCAAGUUGGAUGUGAAAGCCAUAGGCUCAACCUGUGGUCUGCAUCCAAAACUGCAGUUCUUGAGUAGCGCAGAGGCAGGCGGAAUUCCCGGUGUAGCGGUGGAAUGCGUAGAUAUCGGGAGGAACACCGGUGGCGAAGGCGGUCUGCUGGGCGCCAACUGACGCUGAGGCUCGAAAGUAUGGGUAGCAAACAGGAUUAGAUACCCUGGUAGUCCACGCUGUAAACGAUGACUACCGGCCGUUGGGAGACUUAGUCUUUCGGUGGCGCAGUUAACACGAUGAGUAGUCCGCCUGGGGAGUACGUUCGCAAGAAUGAAACUCAAAGGAAUUGACGGGGACCCGCACAAGCGGUGGAGCAUGUGGUUUAAUUCGAAGCAACGCGAAGAACCUUACCUGCCCUUGACACGCCCUUGAAUAUCAUAGAGAUAUGGUAGACCUUCGGGACAAGGGAUGCAGGUGGUGCAUGGUUGUCGUCAGCUCGUGUCGUGAGAUGUUGGGUCAAGUCCCGCAACGAGCGCAACCCCUGCCUCCAGUAGCCAGCAAGUGAAGUUGGGAACUCUGGAGGGACCGCCGGGGAUAACCCGGAGGAAGGAGGGGACGACGUCAAAUCAUCAUGCCCCUUACGGGCAGGGCUACACACGUGCUACAAUGGCGGGCACAGAGGGGAGCUAGCGCGCAAGCGCACGCCGAUCCCGAAAGCCCGCCCCAGUUCGGACCGGGGGCUGCAACUCGCCCCCGCGAAGCCGGAAUCGCUAGUAAUCGCGGAUCAGCAUGCCGCGGUGAAUACGUUCCCGGGUCUUGCACACACCGCCCGUCA
rnacentral:rRNA from 1 species